rnacentral:rRNA from 1 species
CGCCGCUCGAGAUGACGUUUGGUAGUACCUGCCCAGUGCGUAGUUGCGUAAACGGCGGCUGUAACCUGACGGUCUGAAAGUAGCGAAAUUCCUCGCCCUUUAAUUGAGGGACUGCAUGAAGGUUUGACGAGGGCCCUACUGUCUCUCGCUUUAAGAAAUUGAAAUUUAGUUAGAGGUGAAGACGCCUUUGUAGUUAAGUCAGACAAAAAGACCCCGUGCAACUUUGAAGAGAGGAAGAUGCUAUUUAUAUCCCCUUGAUUUUUAGGUGGGGCGCCUGGGUAGUAAAUAAAACCUUCUCUUGACUUAAAUUACACGACAUGUAAUGAUCCAGAUAGUCUGAUAACAGGAUAAGUUACGCCGGGGAUAACAGAGUAAUCCUGCAGUAGAGUGCGUAUUAGCUGCGGGGAUUGCCACCUCGAUGUUGAAUCAGGGAUGAUAUCUCUUUGGUCGCAGCAGCUAUUGAAGUGGGUCUGUUCGACCUUUAAAACCCU